rnacentral:rRNA from 1 species
GUAGGUGGCAAGCGUUGUCCGGAAUUAUUGGGCGUAAAGCGCGCGCAGGCGGUUCUUUAAGUCUGAUGUGAAAGCCCACGGCUCAACCGUGGAGGGUCAUUGGAAACUGGAGAACUUGAGUACAGAAGAGGAAAGCGGAAUUCCACGUGUAGCGGUGAAAUGCGUAGAGAUGUGGAGGAACACCAGUGGCGAAGGCGGCUUUCUGGUCUGUAACUGACGCUGAGGCGCGAAAGCGUGGGGAGCAAACAGGGAUUAGAUACCCUGGUAGUCCACGCCGUAAACGAUGAGUGCUAAGUGUUAGGGGGUUUCCCGCCCCUUAGUGCUGCAGCUAACGCAUUAAGCACUCCGCCGUGGGGAGUACCGGCCGCAAGGCUG